AACGAACGCUGGCGGCAGGCUUAACACAUGCAAGUCGAGCGCCCCGCAAGGGGAGCGGCAGACGGGUGAGUAACGCGUGGGAAUCUACCCAUCUCUACGGAAUAACGCAUGGAAACGUGUGCUAAUACCGUAUACGUCCUUCGGGAGAAAGAUUUAUCGGAGAUGGAUGGGCCCGCGUUGGAUUAGCUAGUUGGUGGGGUAAAGGCCUGCCAAGGCGACGAUCCAUAGCUGGUCUGAGAGGAUGAUCAGCCACACUGGGACUGAGACACGGCCCAGACUCCUACGGGAGGCAGCAGUGGGGAAUAGUGGACAAUGGGCGCAAGCCUGAUCCAGCCAUGCUGCGUGAGUGAUGAAGGCCCUAGGGUUGUAAAGCUCUUUCACCGGUGAAGAUAAUGACGGUAACCGGAGAAGAAGCCCCGGCUAACUUCGUGCCAGCCGCCGCCGUAACAC
rnacentral:rRNA from 1 species